CUACGGGUUGCACCAGUGGGGAAUCUUAGACAAUGGGCGCAAGCCUGAUCUAGCCAUGCCGCGUGAGCGAUGAAGGCCUUAGGGUUGUAAAGCUCUUUCAGCGAGGAAGAUAAUGACUGUACUCGCAGAAGAAGCCCCGGCUAACUCCGUGCCAGCAGCCGCGGUAAUACGGGGGGGGCUAGCGUUGUUCGGAAUUACUGGGCGUAAAGCGCACGUAGGCGGAUCAGAAAGUCAGAGGUGAAAUCCCAGGGCUCAACCUUGGAACUGCCUUUGAAACUCCUGAUCUUGAGUUCGAGAGAGGUGAGUGGAAUUCCGAGUGUAGAGGUGAAAUUCGUAGAUAUUCGGAGGAACACCAGUGGCGAAGGCGGCUCACUGGCUCGAUACUGACGCUGAGGUGCGAAAGCGUGGGGAGCAAACAGGAUUAGAUACCCCGGUAGUC
rnacentral:rRNA from 1 species